GUAGUCAUAUGCUUGUCUCAAAGAUUAAGCCAUGCAUGUCUAAGUAUAAGCAACUUGUACUGUGAAACUGCGAAUGGCUCAUUAAAUCAGUUAUCGUUUAUUUGAUAGUACCUUACUACAUGGAUACCUGUGGUAAUUCUAGAGCUAAUACAUGCUAAAAACCCCGACUUCAGGAAGGGGUGUAUUUAUUAGAUAAAAAACCAACGCCCUUCGGGGCUCCUUGGUGAAUCAUAAUAACUUAACGAAUCGCAUGGCCUUGCGCCGGCGAUGGUUCAUUCAAAUUUCUGCCCUAUCAACUUUCGAUGGUAGGAUAGUGGCCUACCAUGGUGGCAACGGGUAACGGGGAAUUAGGGUUCGAUUCCGGAGAGGGAGCCUGAGAAACGGCUACCACAUCCAAGGAAGGCAGCAGGCGCGCAAAUUACCCAAUCCCGAUACGGGGAGGUAGUGACAAUAAAUACUGAUACGGGGCUCUUUUGGGUCUCGUAAUUGGAAUGAGAACAAUUUAAAUCCCUUAACGAGG
rnacentral:rRNA from 1 species